rnacentral:rRNA from 1 species
AUUGAACGCUGGCGGCAUGCCUUACACAUGCAAGUCGAACGGCAGCACGGGGGCAACCCUGGUGGCGAGUGGCGAACGGGUGAGUAAUACAUCGGAACGUGUCCUUUCGUGGGGGAUAACCAGUCGAAAGACUGGCUAAUACCGCAUGAGAUCUCACGAUGAAAGCGAGGGACCGCAAGGCCUCGCGCGAUUGGAGCGGCCGAUGUCGGAUUAGCUAGUUGGCGGGGUAAAAGCCCACCAAGGCGACGAUCCGUAGCUGGUUUGAGAGAACGAGCGGCCACACUGGGACUGAGACACGGCCCAGACUCCUACGGGAGGCAGCAGUGGGGAAUUUUGGACAAUGGGCGCAAGCCUGAUCCAGCCAUGCCGCGUGUGUGAAGAAGGCCUUCGGGUUGUAAAGCACUUUCGGCCGGAACGAAAUCGCCCGUGUUAACAGCGCGGGUGGAUGACGGUACCGGAAGAAGAAGCACCGGCUAACUACGUGCCAGCCGCCGCCGUAAAAC